rnacentral:rRNA from 1 species
AUUGAACGCUGGCGGCAGGCUUAACACAUGCAAGUCGAGCGGAGCGAGGGUGCUUGCACCUUAGCUUAGCGGCGGACGGGUGAGUAAUGCUUAGGAAUCUGCCUAUUAGUGGGGGACAACAUUCCGAAAGGAAUGCUAAUACCGCAUACGCCCUACGGGGGAAAGCAGGGGAUCUUCGGACCUUGCGCUAAUAGAUGAGCCUAAGUCGGAUUAGCUAGUUGGUGGGGUAAAGGCCUACCAAGGCGACGAUCUGGAGCGGGUCUGAGAGGAUGAUCCGCCACACUGGGACUGGGACCCGGCCCAGACUCCUACGGGCGGCAGCAGUGGGGAAUAUUUGACGAUGGGCGGAAGCCUGAUCCAGCCAUGCCGCGUGUGUGAAGAAGGCCUUUUGGUUGUAAAGCACUUUAAGCGAGGAGGAGGCUCUUAAGGUUAAUACCCUUGAUGAGUGGACGUUACUCGCAGAAUAAGCACCGGCUAACUCUGUGCCAGCCGCCGCCGUAAAAC